rnacentral:tRNA from 1 species
GUUUUAGUAGUAUAAAUUAUUACUCUAUCUUUUCAAGAUAAUAAUAGCUUAACUGCUCUAAAAUU